GCUGGCGGCGUGCCUAACACAUGCAAGUCGAGCGAUUCUCUUCGGAGAAGAGCGGCGGACGGGUGAGUAACGCGUGGGUAACCUGCCCUGUACACACGGAUAACAUACCGAAAGGUAUGCUAAUACGAGAUAAUAUGCUUUUAUCGCAUGGUAGAAGUAUCAAAGCUUUUGCGGUACAGGAUGGACCCGCGUCUGAUUAGCUAGUUGGUAAGGUAACGGCUUACCAAGGCGACGAUCAGUAGCCGACCUGAGAGGGUGAUCGGCCACAUUGGAACUGAGACACGGUCCAAACUCCUACGGGAGGCAGCAGUGGGGAAUAUUGCACAAUGGGCGAAAGCCUGAUGCAGCAACGCCGCGUGAGCGAUGAAGGCCUUCGGGUCGUAAAGCUCUGUCCUCAAGGAAGAUAAUGACGGUACUUGAGGAGGAAGCCCCGGCUAACUACGUGCCAGCAGCCGCGGUAAUACGUAGGGGGCUAGCGUUAUCCGGAAUUACUGGGCGUAAAGGGUGCGUAGGUGGUUUCUUAAGUCAGAGGUGAAAGGCUACGGCUCAACCGUAGUAAGCCUUUGAAACUGGGAAACCUGAGUGCAGGAGAGGAGAGUGGAAUUCCUAGUGUAGCGGUGAAAUGCGUAGAUAUUAGGAGGAACACCAGUUGCGAAGGCGGCUCUCUGGACUGUAACUGACACUGAGGCACGAAAGCGUGGGGAGCAAACAGGAUUAGAUACCCUGGUAGUCCACGCCGUAAACGAUGAGUACUAGCUGUCGGAGGUUACCCCCUUCGGUGGCGCAGCUAACGCAUUUAAGUACUCCGCCUGGGAAGUACGCUCGCAGGAGUGAAACUCAAAGGAAUUGACGGGGACCCGCACAAGUAGCGGAGCAUGUGGUUUAAUUCGAAGCAACGCGAAGAACCUUACCUAAGCUUGACAUCCUUUUGACCGAUGCCUAAUCGCAUCUUUCCCUUUGGGGACAGAAGUGACAGGUGGUGCAUGGUUGUCGUCAGCUCGUGUCGUGAGAUGUUGGGUUAAGUCCCGCAACGAGCGCAACCCUUGCCUUUAGUUGCCAGCAUUAAGUUGGGCACUCUAGAGGGACUGCCAGGGAUAACCUGGAGGAAGGUGGGGAUGACGUCAAAUCAUCAUGCCCCUUAUGCUUAGGGCUACACACGUGCUACAAUGGGUGGUACAGAGGGCAGCCAAGUCGUGAGGCGGAGCUAAUCCCUUAAAGCCAUUCUCAGUUCGGAUUGUAGGCUGAAACUCGCCUACAUGAAGCUGGAGUUACUAGUAAUCGCAGAUCAGAAUGCUGCGGUGAAUGCGUUCCCGGGUCUUGUACACACCGCCCGUCACACCACGGGAGUUGGGGGCGCCCGAAGCCGGAUUGCUAACCUUUUGGAAGCGUCCGUCGAAGGUGAAAUCAAUAACUG
rnacentral:rRNA from 1 species